UACAGAGGUCCCGAGCGUUGUUCGGAUUCACUGGGCGUAAAGGGUGCGUAGGUGGUGGGGUAAGUCUCGUGUGAAAGCUCGCAGCUUAACUGCGAAAAGUCACGGGAUACUAUUCCGCUAGAGGCUUGGAGGGGGGACUGGAAUACUUGGUGUAGCAGUGAAAUGCGUAGAUAUCAAGUGGAACACCAGUGGCGAAGGCGAGUCCCUGGACAAGAGCUGACACUGAGGCACGAAAGCCAGGGGAGCAAACAGG
rnacentral:rRNA from 1 species